AAUCUAACAAAAAUUAUUUUUAUAAUUUUUUUUUUACUUUUUUCACGUUUUUAUACUUUUAUUUCUUUUAACCGUAAAACAUCUGACGGCUAUCCUAAAUUUUUACGGAACUAAUUCUUUACUUCCUGUCUUCCUAACUUUACUUCCUAUCAUCCUAUAACUCCUCCUUCUCCCCGGAGUGAAAUUACUAAAUAAUCAAAUUUCUCCGAAAGAACAAAAAGAAAAAUCAAAAGUUCAAAAGUGGCUCAGAGCGAUCUCACGGAGGAAUGAAAAAAAGAAAAAGGGAUAUUCGUGCCAAAAACUCACUCGAGUCUCGUGCGACUCGACUUAAGCUAAGUAUUCCACGCGUUUGCAUAGUGCUCGCAUUACUAUUUCGAAAUAAUAAUAAUAAUAAUAAUAAUAACGAUGAUAAGAUAAUAACAAUAGUAAUAACGUGUAAAUGUCGUUAUUUAAUGUCAGGUGUGUCGGAUCGCGACACGCGGCGUAGCUCGUUGACAGCGAUUAUUGAAUUCAGGCUGUAAAGUUAAGUAGACCGUAAGUCCAGAGGAAGAUUAUUAACUUUGUUGGAAGUGUGUCAAUAUCGUAUUCUAUACGGGGGAAGGAAAAACCAGCUAUACGUCCACAUUUUUUACAGUAGUAGUAAUGGCGAGGCGUUUUAAGGGAAAGUAAGUGACUAACUAAACGGCGCUGACUGAGUGCAACGAUAAUAAAGUUAGCACGCCACUCUCUCCUUGUUGCAGUCAGUAGCUUCGUCGAUAAAUCGACUACCGCUGAAUGUCAUAUAGUAGUAGCCAACGUAAUGAAGUUGAAUAUACUCUCUCAUGCUGUGUCCAACGUAAAUAUAAUUAAUCGAAAGGCUUUGGCGCAGGAAAAAAGAAAAAAAGAAACCGAAGAUCGGCGAGAUCGGUUUACGAGCUUUCUUCAGCAGAAAGGAAACUUUAGCAUCUCUUUAUUUUUAACUUUCAACAAAGUUUUCGCUUCAUUUCUCACAACAUCUGUGAAUUUUCCAAAAUUCAGAGAGUGGUUUUCGCGAAACUUAAAACAAUUCUUUACUGUGCCAAGGUCCUCAAUUUUAAACAUAAACGAGAACAAGUUUCUGCGUAUGUAUUGGAUCGUCCGGAAAGUUCUGCGAUUUUUCCACGUUUGCGCGGAUACCCGCAGUUUGAAUUUUGCGCUAAUACUCCAAAUGAGGAAGCCCAAACUUCAGGUUGGUAAGAAGGAGCAGUUUUUUGUUUAAACGAUUAAUGCAUCCAUUCAUAAUGACGUAUGUUCAGUCAUUCGAUUCAGUUGAUUUUACCCAGGGAUGGAUUUACUAUAGGGGCUUAACGGGCUAUAGCCCAGGGCGGCAAAAUCUAGGGGCGGCAAAAUAUGGAGACAUGACGCGCCCCGGCCGAUUCUGCCGCCUGUCGCGGCGCUUCGUGCCGCAGGACCGCGUUUCAGCGGCGGCGUACGGCUGAGGUUCAGAUCGCGUUAUGCAUUUUUUAUAAAAAUUUUAAUUUUCACUACCUGUACAAGAGGCGGCAGCUACUUUUCAGCCCCAAGCGGCAAAAUACGUAAAUCCGCGCCUGAUUUUACCAUAUAGUACUUUAAAGUGCAGUGCUCUAAAGAUGGAGAAUCAGAAACAACUAUUUUUGCAAUAUUAUAUGCUUUUCUACUUCAGAAAGGGCUAGAACACACGCGAGACAGCGCGUAAAAUUUGUAAAGUUUACGGACAAGAUGAAACGCGAUCUGGGCGUCUCUGCACUGUGUGGAUGAUGAUCUAUUGAAACAGCUAUCGCCGAAAAUCCUCGUUAAACGUUAAAGUAUAAAAAUUGGUAAAGAAAUUAAAAA